rnacentral:rRNA from 1 species
ACACAUGCAAGUCGAGGGGAAACGAUGGGAGGGCUUGCCCUCCCAGGCGUCGACCGGCGCACGGGUGAGUAACACGUAUCCAACCUGCCCUCUUCCGGGGAACAACCUUGCGAAAGUAAGACUAAUGCCCCAUGUGUCCUCAGACGGCAUCAGACGAGGACGAAAGAUUUAUCGGAAGUGGAUGGGGAUGCGCCUGAUUAGGCAGUUGGCGGGGCAACGGCCCACCAAGCCGACGAUCAGUAGGGGUUCUGAGAGGAAGGUCCCCCACAUUGGAACUGAGACACGGUCCAAACUCCUACGGGAGGCAGCA